AUUCUUCCUCUCUUUUUUUCAGUCAAUCACACAAGAGCAAUCAAUCAUAACAUGCGACCGGUUAUAUAAAGGUUCCUGUGGCCUAACGUACAGCACACUUUCGAGAGGUAACGCUGUUUGUGAGAAGAAGACUUGGCCAAAGAUAUCAGGAGUAAUUAGUCCACCUCUGGGACCUGAUCCAGGAUGGCACGGACUUACGUUAUUCUGUUACUGAUAAGCUGUCUGGCUGUGCUGAUUAACGCUGUGGGCGGCGCAGCAGUUGCUCCAAAUGAAAUCAAUGACUUCCGCCGCAUUGCCACGCAAAGACCAGAACACUGCUUCACAAGUGUGUGCAGGCGCGGUAAAUACGCACAUCAACUGGAUGAAUUCUUCCAACACCAGGCCAAGCCUACAUCUGGUGGAACAGGCCCAUAUAGCUACGGCCGCCGCCGAAGAUCUGUCUCUGAUAGAAAGCAGCUUCUACGCCUCUUGAGUAGCAGUGCAAGACACCAAAGAACGUGAAAACAUCGGGCUAUAUCCGAAGAGGAGUCAUUAAGACAAAGGGCUUGAACCUCCUUUGCCACUUCUCGUACAUUAAGAAUAAAUGUAUUGCAAUCUUG